rnacentral:rRNA from 1 species
GAGUUUGAUCUUGGCUCAGGACGAACGCUGGCGGCGUGCUUAACACAUGCAAGUCGAACGGGAUCCAUCCAGUGGCAACACUGGUGAAGAUCUAGUGGCGAACGGGUGAGUAACACGUGAGGAACCUGUCCCGAUCUCUGGGAUAACAGUGGGAAACCGCUGCUAAUACCGGAUGCCUCCGGGUGGUCGCAUGGCCGCUCGAAGAAAGGAUUCCGGAUCGGGAGGGCCUCGCGGCCUAUCAGCUUGUUGGUGGGGUAACGGCCUACCAAGGCGUCGACGGGUAGCUGGUCUGAGAGGACGAUCAGCCACACUGGGACUGAGACACGGCCCAAACUCCUACGGGAGGCAGCAGUGGGGAAUAUUGGACAAUGGCGCAAGCCUGAUCCAGCCACGCCGCGUGAGUGAUGAAGGCCCUAGGGUUGUAAAGCUCUUUCACCGGUGAAGAUAAUGACGGUAACCGGAGAAGAAGCCCCGGCUAACUUCGUGCCAGCAGCCGCCGCGGUAAG